CCGAGGACCCUUCGACAGGUUUGUUCUCUCUCAAUCUCCAGCCAUUCGGUGAGUACUACAUAUGGUGGAAUAGGUCUAAGCAUUACUGGACUAGUGGGACGUGGGACAAUCAGACGAAAAUUUUCUCUUUGGUCCCUGAAAUGAGAGCGAACUAUAUUUAUGAGUUCAAAUAUGUGGACAAUGAGAACGAGAGCUACUUCACCUAUUCAAUCAAAAGCUCCUUCAACACCAUAUCAAGGUUUGUGAUGGACCUUUCUGGGCAGAUCAAGCAGGAGUCCUGGUUGCCUUCCCAGGCGUGGACCAUGUUCUAGUCUAAGCCCUCGCAACAAUGCGAUGUGUAUAGACUUUGUGGGCCUUUCAGUGUUUGCAGCGAGCAGAGCGAAGUUUUGUGCAAC
rnacentral:lncRNA from 1 species